ensembl:lncRNA
AAGGUUCAGUAGGGGAAGGUCCCGGUUAACUUAGUUAAUUUCCUUUCACGACAAGGUCACCCAAUUAGUUGACCAAGGGAAGCCAGCUGAUGCUAUCUUUCUGGAUUUCAGUAAGGAUUUCAAUGAUGUUUCUCACAGGAUCCUUUGGGACAAAAUGGCCAAUGUACAGCUAGGUCUGGUUUCCACCAAGACGUGAGUGAGCAGUAGGUAGCUAGAGCCUGUUCCUUCUGGCCGUCACUGUUUGUACCUGUGGCAAAUCAGACAUGAGGAGUCACAGAGAAGAGCAAGUCAUUUCUAACAGAGUUGCUGUUAGGAUUGUCUACUCUGAAGCCUCACAGCUCAGGAUGCUCUGAAGGGAACAACCAGGGAAUGCAGAGCACACCCAAGGACUGAUUGGCCUCAUCCAGGACUGCUGGAGCAACCUUAGGUUUGCAGCCAUAUCAAUGCCUGCCUGUUGCUGCUUACCAAAAUCAGUAAUGCACAGAAAACAGGGCCAUCUCAGCUUUGUCAUGUUGUCAGCUGGAUUUCCUCUGAGCACCUUUGGAUAACAGCACUGAAGAAAAUAACAGCUGGUUUAUGGUAGAGGUGCCACCUCUUGUGAUACUCCACUGUGGAUAAUUUUUAGGGAAAAGCUCAGCAUGAAAUAAAUAUGUGAGGGAGAAGCAUAGCUACAGAGGAGGAAAACAACGGCCACACAGCCACAGCCAGGAAAGCAAAGGGAACCAACACUGCAAGAUCCUGGAGGAGCAGACACAGGGUAAUGAGGCUGGCGGGGCUGCGAUGGGCAGCAGGGAUGCAGCAUCCUUGACUGGCAAAGAUGCUGUUCCAGGAAACAACACCACAAAUGAAGUGAUAGGGGAAAACAUGACAGUGACUCUGACGUCUCCAAUGCAGCAGAAUGCUCCAGAAAGUGCUUAAGCAGACUGGCAAGCAGCAGUGAUGUGCUGGCUCUGCAUGACAGUCACAGAGAGAGGGGGCAAGGAAAAAAGAGCUCGUUUGCAGCAGAGUUCUUCACAUUGCAGAGUACUGAAGAUUUUGUGUUACGUAUCAUACAGCAAGAACCAUUAUUUACACCUUGGUUUUAUUAAAACCUGUUCCUGUUC